rnacentral:rRNA from 1 species
GGAUUAGAAACCCUGGUAGUCCACGCCCUAAACGAUGAUGACUCGGUGUCGGCGAUAGAAUGCCGGCGCCCAAGCGAAAGCGUUAAGUCAUCCACCUGGGGAGUACGCCCGCAAGGGUGAAACUCAAAGGAAUUGACGGGGGCCCGCACAAGCGGAGGAGCAUGUGGUUUAAUUCGAUGAUACGCGAGGAACCUUACCCGGGCUUGAAAGUUAGUGAAGUAUCCAGAGAUGGAUGCGUCCUGGACACGAACUAGGUGCUGCAUGGCUGUCGUCAGCUCGUGCCGUGAGGUG